UUGACAUAUUAAUAUGUCAAAUCUAUAGCACACUUAUAGAUGCAUAGAGUAACGCACACAAAUUCAAAUUUACUGACCUUUUUACAUGGAAAAUUUUAUUAUUAUAUUAUUAUUAAAACUUUAGGAUAACAUUAAUUAUUUCAUUAAAUAUAAUAUACAAUUUUUUAAGCAGUUACCUGAGGGAAAGCUCUACGUCUAUUUACAGAUAUAAUUAUAGCAACUUAUUAUAUAUUUGUGGGAGCUGUACUACUUGAAAUGGAUGCCAAUGCCUAUAAUGUUUAUUGUUUUUUGUCUGUUAUUGUUGUGACGUCUACUAUGCACAAUCUAAUUAUUCUUAAAAAAAUGGAUACUAGACAAAACAAAUAAAGUGUUUCAUUACUGGUAUAAGUGGUAGCUAAAAAAAUCCGAGAAUAAAUAAUCAGAAAAAAUUGUUUAAA